AACAACGAUGGAUAGGGGUUCUGAGAGGAAGGUCCCCCACAUUGGAACUGAGACACGGUCCAAACUCCUACGGGAGGCAGCAG
rnacentral:rRNA from 1 species